rnacentral:lncRNA from 1 species
GGUUAAUAUUGAGAGCGUGGAGUCUUUCUUUCCAAAGACACACUUAUGCCUGUGACUUUUCCGGUCCGGUUUCCGGUUUCCUUUAAUUUCCGGGAAAGGCAUUGCUCCCACAAGGCACACAUUGUUUACGCUAUUGUGUGUGUGUGUGUGUGUGUGAGAGAGAGAGAGAGAGAGAGAGAGAGAGAGAGAGAGAGAGAGAGAGAGAGAGAGAGGAGAGAGAGACAGAGAGACAGAGAGAGAUUUUGGGGGUCAAGAAGGUUGGUGAAGUUGUCCCCUGUGGGUCUGGCCACUUUUCAUGUAGAACCAGACACAGGGGUCAGCUCGUGUCUAAGACAAGCAAGGACCGGGAGCAUAACAGAAGGAAGGAAUUUAAUAACGGACAGCGGUGGGACCCAGGAACCUCCGCCUGAGCCCUCUGGCAAGCCUGCACCAGGGAUGGAGCACUGCGCACAGGAGGGCAAAUUUGACCAGAAUCUGAGUCUUCAUUACCCAGGGUGGAGGGUACAAAGUUCAAGCACUUGAUGGAGCCGGAUUCCUGAAGUCAUUUCGAAGGAUAACUUUUCCCUAACUUAAAUGGGGUUCUCUUGU